rnacentral:rRNA from 1 species
GUAAGUGCGACUGAACCGGGAAGAGCCCAGCGCAUAACCUUGUAGCCCAAAAGGCGCGAGGGGUGUUGCGUUUCAGAGGGUCUAGCACACCGUCCCCGACCAGCCUAAGUCUUACCUGGAAAGGAGCUCUAUGACCAAGGAAGGUGUGAGUCCUGUAUGGCGGUGCCCGUGAGGGAAUCCGUGGGACGGUGGAAAGGACCGCUCUGUAGAGUCGGGUUGCUUAAUACUGCAGCCCAAAGUAGGUGGUAAACUCCAUCUAAGGCUAAAUAUGACCACGAGACCGAUAGCGAACAAGUACCGUGAGGGAAAGUUGAAAAGGACUUUGAA